AUGAUUGACACAAACUGCCCAAUUAUGAGCUGGAACGUACGAGGGCUCAACUCGCCGGCCUGGCAAGCAGUAGUGAACGAGAUGGCGGAGACACACAAGCCCGCUCUUCUCUGUCUCCAAGAGACAAAGAUCAACGUUUGGAGCAGAUCACUAGUUAGGGAGGUGGGCGGAGCCAGACUAACAGACUGCGUCGUCCUCCUGGCCACGGGCACUAGGGGAGGCGCGGUGAUCUUCUGGGACAUGAGCCGUGUAGAGGUGCAAUCCCACGCCAUUGGUCGUUUCUCCAUCAUAGCCAAGAUCACUCUUGCAGCAACAUCAACAUCUUUCUGGAUGACGACGGUGUACGGGCCAGUCGACGAUGGGAGGAAAGAUGAGUUCCUGGCUGAGCUAGCACAAACAGCGUCGACCCCAAACGAUCCCUGGCUCAUUAACAACGACUUCAACCCAAUCUACGAAGCGUGAGAUAAGAACAACAACAACAUAAACCGUAGGAUCGUGGGCAAAUUUUGGGCUGCAAUCAACAUGGCGGGGCUCAAGGAGAUCAAAUGC
rnacentral:rRNA from 1 species